UAACCUGGGGAAACCCAGGCUAAUACCGCAUACGUCCUACGGGAGAAAGGGGGCUUCGGCUCCCGCUAUUGGAUGAGCCUAUGUCGGAUUAGCUAGUUGGUGAGGUAAAGGCUCACCAAGGCAACGAUCCGUAGCUGGUCUGAGAGGAUGAUCAGCCACAUCGGGACUGAGACACGGCCCGAACUCCUACGGGAGGCAGCAGUGGGGAAUAUUGGACAAUGGGGGCAACCCUGAUCCAGCCAUGCCGCGUGUGUGAAGAAGGCCCUCGGGUUGUAAAGCACUUUCAGCGAGGAAGAACGCCUGGUGGUUAAUACCCGCCAGGAAAGACAUCACUCGCAGAAGAAGCACCGGCUAACUCCGUGCCAGCAGCCGCGGUAAUACGGAGGGUGCAAGCGUUAAUCGGAAUUACUGGGCGUAAAGCGCGCGUAGGUGGCUUGAUAAGCCGGUUGUGAAAGCCCCGGGCUCAACCUGGGAACGGCAUCCGGAACUGUCAGGCUAGAGUGCAGGAGAGGAAGGUAGAAUUCCCGGUGUAGCGGUGAAAUGCGUAGAGAUCCGGGAGGAAUACCAGUGGCGAAGGCGGCCUUCUGGACUGACACUGACACUGAGGUGCGAAAGCGUGGGUAGCAAAACAGGAUUAUAUACCCUGGUAGUCCACGCCGU
rnacentral:rRNA from 1 species